rnacentral:rRNA from 1 species
CCUACGGGUGGCAGCAGUGGGGAAUAUUGGACAAUGGGGGCAACCCUGAUCCAGCCAUGCCGCGUGUGUGAAGAAGGCCCUCGGGUUGUAAAGCACUUUCAGUGAGGAAGAACGCCUGGUGGUUAAUACCCAUCAGGAAAGACAUCACUCACAGAAGAAGCACCGGCUAACUCCGUGCCAGCAGCCACGGUAAUACGGAGGGUGCGAGCGUUAAUCGGAAUUACUGGGCGUAAAGCGCGCGUAGGUGGCUUGAUAAGCCGGUUGUGAAAGCCCCGGGCUCAACCUGGGAACGGCAUCCGGAACUGUCAAGCUAGAGUGCAGGAGAGGAAGGUAGAAUUCCCGGUGUAGCGGUGAAAUGCGUAGAGAUCGGGAGGAAUACCAGUGGCGAAGGCGGCCUUCUGGACUGACACUGACACUGAGGUGCGAAAGCGUGGGUAGCAAACAGGAUUAGAUACCCCAGUAGUC